rnacentral:lncRNA from 12 species
CUGUGAUUCCAAAGAAACACUUUCCUGAGGGAGUGGCGUGUUGGGUGGUGUGCUCCAUUUGACCCUCAUAUAUGUGAACAUAUACAUCCGGAUGGGCCAUCUGCCCUCUGCUAAAAUAAAUGUGAGAUAGCUUACAAGUGUGAAGUCAUUGCAGCAGGUUUAAGACACGAUGAAAAUUUUACAAGAUAAAAGUAACAACAUCUAACUCUUCAUCAGAUUUAACAUGAGAACAAUGUGGGGGGGGUGGGGGGCAAAUUUAAUGCUGUUAUUUUUGGAAGCCAGCAGGAGAAUCAAGUUUAUGGAUAUUUUUGAGGACUAGCUGAUGAAGAGGUAAAUCACGUACUAUCCAUGCCAGCUUAACAACCACCAACAUGAGCACUGAAAUCAAAGGCAAUGUUUGUGAUCAGGAACCACGUGGGCUGUGUAGACCUCAACAAAGCAUAAACAGAGCGGUGAGAGCAAAGAGAACAGUGCAGCCAGCUUCACUGGCUGAGCUGCUGGUGGCUGCACUGCACAGGCUGACGUGGUACCUACCCUCUGUUAUUGCAGUAGGAACUCUACAGAGAAAAUCGUGAUCGAUGCCAUCAAGGAAAAGGUGGAGAAGUCCAUCAGUAAGUCCUUGAGACAGGUGCCCCAGAGCCCCUGAGUGAGCUUACUUAAAGGGAUAGAGGGCUCUGUGGCUGCUGGGAACCAGGAGCACUUCCAUCCUAGAAGCUAAUUCCAUUAACUUGAGGUCAUGGCUCUCAGAAACAUGGAUUUGAGUCUGAGCGCAUCGUAUGCUCAGACACACAAAACAAUGGGCUCCAGGCACACCCUGGCAGCCUCUAUGAGAACACCAAGCUUGUGGAGAAUGUGAGUCUUUCUCCAAGGCCUUCAAAAGUGAGUUCAGGCAGGAAAAGACCUACUUCCCAGAUGACUGAAGGUGAAGGCGCUUUGUUUUUAACAUCCAUACUGAACCACACACAAAGUAAAUGGGG